GUCAGUGUGGCAUAGUGGUUUGUGUGUUGGACUACAGCUGUGGAGACCAGGGUUCAAUUCCUCACUCAGCCA
rnacentral:tRNA from 1 species